UGGGGAAUUUUGGACAAUGGGCGAAAGCCUGAUCCAGCAAUGCCGCGUGUGUGAAGAAGGCCUUCGGGUUGUAAAGCACUUUUGUCCGGAAAGAAAUCCUUGGCUCUAAUACAGUCGGGGGAUGACGGUACCGGAAGAAUAAGCACCGGCUAACUACGUGCCAGCAGCCGCGGUAAUACGUAGGGUGCAAGCGUUAAUCGGAAUUACUGGGCGUAAAGCGUGCGCAGGCGGUUUGCUAAGACCGAUGUGAAAUCCCCGGGCUCAACCUGGGAACUGCAUUGGUGACUGGCAGGCUAGAGUAUGGCAGAGGGGGGUAGAAUUCCACGUGUAGCAGUGAAAUGCGUAGAGAUGUGGAGGAAUACCGAUGGCGAAGGCAGCCCCCUGGGCCAAUACUGACGCUCAUGCACGAAAGCGUGGGGGAGCAAACAGGAUUUAGAUACCCCUGGUAGUCCACGCCCUAAAACGAUGUCAACUAGGUUGUUGGGGGAUUUCAUUUCCUUAGUAACGUAGCUAACGCGUGAAGUUGACCGCCUGGGGGAGUACGGUCGCAAGAUUAAAACUCAAAUGAAUUGAC
rnacentral:rRNA from 1 species